rnacentral:rRNA from 1 species
AUUGAACGCUGGCGGCAUGCUUUACACAUGCAAGUCGAACGGCAGCGGGGAGGAGCUUGCUUCUCUGCCGGCGAGUGGCGAACGGGUGAGUAAUACAUCGGAACGUGUCGAGAAGAGGGGGAUAACCACCCGAAAGGGUGGCUAAUACCGCAUAAAUUCUGAGGAAGAAAGCUGGGGACCUAGGAAUAGGCCUAGCGCUUUUUGAGCGGCCGAUGUCGGAUUAGCUAGUUGGCGAGGUAAAGGCUCACCAAGGCGAAGAUCUGUAGCGGGUCUGAGAGGAUGAUCCGCCACACUGGGACUGAGACACGGCCCAGACUCCUACGGGAGGCAGCAGUGGGGAAUUUUGGACAAUGGGGGCAACCCUGAUCCAGCCAUGCCGCGUGUAUGAAGAAGGCCUUAGGGUUGUAAAGUACUUUUGUUAGGGAAGAAAAGUCAGCUGUGAAUAAUGGCUGAUACUGACGGUACCUAAAGAAUAAGCACCGGCUAACUACGUG